AUAACAUUCUGCUUAGUACGGCGAGUGAAGCGGCAAAAGCUCAAAUUUGAAAUCUGGCACCUUCGGUGUCCGAGUUGUAAUUUGAAGAAGGUAACUUUGGAGUUGGCUCUUGUCUAUGUUCCUUGGAACAGGACGUCACAGAGGGUGAGAAUCCCGUGCGAUGAGAUGCCCAAUUCUAUGUAAAGUGCUUUCGAAGAGUCGAGUUGUUUGGGAAUGCAGCUCUAAGUGGGUGGUAAAUUCCAUCUAAAGCUAAAUAUUGGCGAGAGACCGAUAGCGAACAAGUACAGUGAUGGAAAGAUGAAAAGAACUUUGAAAAGAGAGUGAAAAAGUACGUGAAAUUGUUGAAAGGGAAGGGCUUGAGAUCAGACUUGGUAUUUUGCGAUCCUUUCCUUCUUGGUUGGGUUCCUCGCAGCUUACUGGGCCAGCAUCGGUUUGGAUGGUAGGAUAAUGACUAAGGAAUGUGGCUCUACUUCGGUGGAGUGUUAUAGCCUUGGUUGAUACUGCCUGUCUAGACCGAGGACUGCGUCUUUUGACUAGGAUGUUGGCAUAAUGAUCUUAAGCCACCCGUCUAAAAAAAGGGGACAAAAAAACCCCAAAAAAUUAAGGAAAAAAAU
rnacentral:rRNA from 1 species